AGCGGCGAACGGGUGAGUAACACGUGAGCAAUCUGCCCUUCUCUUUGGAAUAAGCGCGGGAAACUGCGUCUAAUGCCGAAUAUGACUUCGAAAGGCAUCUUUUGAAGUGGAAAGUUCCGGCGGAGAAGGAUGAGCUCGCGGCCUAUCAGCUAGUUGGUGAGGUAAUGGCUCACCAAGGCAAUGACGGGUAGCCGGCCUGAGAGGGUGACCGGCCACACUGGGACUGAGACACGGCCCAGACUCCUACGGGAGGCAGCAGUGGGGAAUAUUGGACAAUGGGCGAAAGCCUGAUCCAGCAACGCCGCGUGAGGGAUGACGGCCUUCGGGUUGUAAACCUCUUUCAGCUCCGACGAAGCGAAAGUGACGGUAGGUGCAGAAGAAGGACCGGCCAACUACGUGCCAGCAGCCGCGGUAAUACGUAGGGUCCGAGCGUUGUCCGGAAUUAUUGGGCGUAAAGGGCUCGUANGCGGUUUGUCACGUCGGGAGUGAAAACUCAGGGCUUAACCCUGAGCGUGCUUCCGAUACGGGCAGACUAGAGGUAUGCAGGGGAGAACGGAAUUCCUGGUGUAGCGGUGGAAUGNGCAGAUAUCAGGAGGAACACCGGUGGCNAA
rnacentral:rRNA from 1 species